UGCUCCCACCUGCGGAGAACCGGAGUCUGGCGAUGCCAAGGCGCUUCUGGGAAUUGUAGUUCCGGGCGGGAUGAGGGCAGCACGCCUGGCUCCGCUCCUUCUUACGCAUGCGCGACUCCGAGCUGGCCAAAGAAGUUCGUCCCCUUUGUGAGGCCCGGGAUGGGAGCUCUGUCUUCCCAGGAUUCUCCCCAUUUCCAAGAGAAGAGCACAGAAGAGGGAGAAGUGGCUGCUCUGCGCCUCACGGCCAGAUCCCAGGAGGAGAACUAUUUAUGCAGUUAGAAAGAGAGGGAAUAUUUAUGGAAGACACUGCGUGCUUUUACUUGGCAGAAAUCUCCAUGGCUUUGGGGCAUUUACAUCAAAAGGGGAUCAUCUACAGAGACUUGAAGCUGGAGAAUAUCAUGCUUAAUCACCAAGGUCAUGUGAAACUAACAGACUUUGGACUAUGCAAAGAAUCAUUCAUGACGGAACAGUCACACACACAUUUUGUGGAGCAAUAGAAUACAUGUGAGCUGCAUGUUAAACAUAAUUGGUUUGGAGCCUCCAUUUACUGGGGAGAAUAGAAAGAAAACAAUUGACAACAUCCUCAAAUGUAAACUAAUUUGCCUCCCUACCUCACACAAGAAGCCAGAGAUCUGCUUAAAAAGCUACUGAAAAGAAAUGCUGCUUCUCAUCUGGGAGCUGGUCCUGGGGAUGCUGGAGAUGUUCAAGCUCAUCCAUUCUUUAGACACAUUAACUGGGAAGAACUUCUGGCUCGAAAGGUGGAGCCCCCAUUUAAACCUCUGUUGCAAUCUGAAGAGGAUGUAAGUCAGUUUGAUUCCAAGUUUACACGUCAGACACCUGUCGACAGCCCAGAUGACUCAACUCUCAGUGAAAGUGCCCAUCAGCUCUUUCUGGAGCUUCGCCAGAAUACCUCCUGGAGUUGUUGACAUUGGGCCCUACUGGAACCUUCCUGAAUGAUCAGCGCUCCUGGAUGGGCCCCACCGCGGGGUGCCGCAGCUCCACCAUGUGCUCGCCGUCGUCCUCCAGCUGGUUUACGCUCUGCUCCUGGCUCAGCAGCUCGUGCUGCUUGAAGUCUGGGGGCGAGUCGGGUGAGAAGCGGCGGUGAGGACCAGGAUGGCCCUGGUCGCCCCCACCUGGCCCCAACCUCUGCCAGCCGACCUCGUACUCCCGCCGCACGCCCGCAGGGUCGGCCGUGAGGUCGCUCCAGUCCUGCUGCAGGAUGCGGCACUGCUGCUCCGCCAGGGCGCUCAGCUGCCGCGUGCAGCCCUGCAAGUGCGUGUACAGGCUGACCAGGCUCUGCCCGCGCCACGACGCCGCCUUCUGUGCUCAGGACCCGCCGCCAGCAGCAGGGUGGGGAGAGAGACAGUGGGGGGCAAAAGGCGCCAUUGGGCCGCGCUCAGGAACACUGGCCCCGGGCAGGGUCCAGGCGGCCACCCAGGCCCACCCGCAGCCACCCUGCCCGACCCUCCCUCCUGCUCACCAGUAGGUCUCGGUAUUGGCCCCGGAUGGUGGCUGCAUCCUGCCUCGACCAAGGGGAGAAACAAGCCCGUGAGAGGUGGGGUGCGGGGAGACGGCCCCCUAAGAUCUGGACCAGCCAUACCCCACCCACCCCUAUCCCCAGGGCCCAGCCGAUCUAGCUCCGGCUCUGACUGGAAAAACAGGGGCUGGGGCUGGCCCCGGAUGUGACAUCCUCCCGGCUCACCCACCGGCCCCACGAGGCUCCCCAGCUGCUCUCCUUGGUCGUCGAUCUCGUUCUGCAGGAUGUUGAGCUCCGCGAUCUGUUCCUCCAGCUCCGCCAUGCCCGGCCCGUACUGGCCUGCGCAGACCUGCUUCUGCAGGAGAGCCGGCGGCUCAGUCACCGCAGGACCGCGGUGGGGAGCCAGAGAACCCCACACGUCUCCCACCCAGAGAAGUGGACUUGGUCAUUUGGGCAGAGCGUGGACGAGCCUGGGAGCAGCCCGGGUGCACGCCCUGCAGCUCACCCAGGGGCGAGGCCAUUCUGCAGUGGCCCCUGAGUCCCACUGGUUCCCAGACGCUGGGCUCAGCCUCUGAGAAGUCUCCAGCUCCAUCCUACCUUGUCUGUGACCCAGCCUCAGUGCUUCCUGUCUGGACACCUCCAGCCAAGCUCUAGGGCCCUCAGAACGCCCUGCUCCACCUGGGCCCUUCCCCACUGUCCCUCUAUUGUCAUGAUGACACCCCUUCUGUGUGGCAUCAAAGCACAACUCCUCACCCAGGGAUCAGAAUGCCCCAUGACCUGGCUCUGCCCACCUGCCCAGAAAUCCCCAAGUCCCAUCGAACCGUAGGCUUCCUCCUGGCAGGUGCCUUUGCUCCUUCUUUCUGGAAUUGUUCUCUCCUCACUACUUCACCCUGAUCCAACCGAGCCCUCUCACCCCUCUGAGGUCUCUUCAUGUGCCUCCUCCUGCAGGAAGUCUUCCCUGACUGCACUGUCUCCUCUGCUGUCUCCCUGCCCAGACCCCUGAGCCACCCCUACACCCUGACUGUUCAAGCCUACAGUCAGGCCCUGGGUUAAAUGCAGUUCCGUAUCGCUCUCUGAUCACACUGGGGUGUGACUUUGAGCUCCUGACCUGUUUCUGCUCCAGCACGUGUGCCCAGUUGACCCUGGAUCCCACGUCUGGGCGGCAGCACCAUCUUCUCGUACAGGGCACGGUACACUCCUGGGUCACCUGCUCGUGCAGCUGCUCGAUGCUGUCAAGAAGCCGACCCAGGCCGGCAGGUCAGGGCUGGGCCUGGGUCUUCCCCAGGGACCCCCAGCCCUGCCGCAGCCCCACUCACUCCUUCUCAGUCUCCUCAGCCUGCGGGUGCUUGAGCCGCCGGGCCUUGUCCUCGUCCAGGAAGAGGUCCUUGAGCAGCACCUCGGCCUCCUUCAGGCUGCCGCCCGUCUCCUGCUGGUGCUGCAGGGCCUGGCUCUGCUCACUGUUCAGCCGGUCCUGUGGGCAGGGGAUGGGCAGACUCGCCAGGGCCCAGAGCCCCCACACCCCAGCUGCCCAUCACUGUGCGCCUGAGCCCCACCUUUGGGACCCCAGCUAUGCUGGCCAACCUCGAGGCCCACGCCAGGCACAGGGUCAGGCCCAGGGCGUCCGUGGGGCAGGUGACAAGGACACAGGGGAGCCCAGCAAAGAAGGAAGCUGAGCCCUCUCUCCCACCGUGUGUUAGGGGACAGGCGGUGCAGGACAAAUGUCAUCUGUCCCAUCUUCACCAUCACCAGGGGGCACUCAGGGAGUGCCAGGCCUGAUGAUGGGCCUCCCAUGUCACCCAGCCUGCCCACGCCCUGCCAACUGCUGCCAUGCCCGGGGCCUCACCUGCUGCAGCCUCUUCUGCGUCUCCAGGAUGUCCCGCUCCACCUGGUCGGGGUUGGCUUGCAUGCGGGAGAUGAGCAGGGCCAGCUCCUGGGUGGCAGCCCUGGUGGGUGGAGGGGACAGUGGGCAGCUCGGUGGAAGAGGCCCCUCUGUGCCCCAUCCAGGUGGCAUCCCCUGCCCUCCCUCCACCCCAUACUGCCCCCAGAGCCUAGCUCACUGCCCUGACUUUGGGGUCUCUCUCUGAAGGAGGCUCUGUGAGCUAGUCCUGGUUGGGGGUGUUAGCACUGCCCCGCCACAUGAGGGGUCAAAAGGUGAGGGUCUCAGGUCUGUGUGGUGCUGAGGGGGCAGGCGGCCUUGGUGUCCCAGCCUCAGCCAGCUGUGCUGGCAGUGAGUUCCCGACCCCAUCCAGCUGCCUGCCACUUCCCCUCCGCGAGCCGGUGAAUCACCGGCUCAGCCACUAGUACCUGAGCCAGCCUGGCUGGGCCCUGGGAGGGGCAGUUGGGCUGGCUGGGGCAGGGAGGCAGCAGCAUGCCCCCCACCCCCACCUCCUCCCACUCCAGCCCUGUGUUCCCCUAUACCUCCUCCACCCCGGGGAGCUUUGCCAGAGUGCUGGCUUCAGUAGCCGUCUAGAGGAGCCUCACACUGUCAGAGCCGGGGAGGGGAGGCAGGCACAAGAGACUGCUGGGCACCCUAACAUUCUCCAGAGUUGAGGGUUCAAAGCCCAGAUUGGGCCCUGACUUGCUCUGAGUCACAUGGUCAGGGACGGAGGGGAAACCUUGCUUCCACCCCAGGGCUUUUUCUGUGCAUUCGCCCUGCAGCCUCCAUAGAGCACCUGCUGUGUGCAUGCAGUCACUCUGUGGAGGUCACAAGGUCAAGCAGACCUAAAAGAGGGCAGAUUGGUCCAAGCCUCAUGAGCACAGUGCCUUAUAGGGGAUCAUUAUCCUGGGGCAGGGGAAGCCUUGAACUGGGUCAAAGGAUGGCCCCCCCCCCCCCACACCUCAGGCAAAGGGACAGUGCUGGUGAAGGCACAGCAGUCUGGAAGAACUCUGUGGCCAAGACAGCCUGGUUUCAUCUUUCUCCAUCAUUAAUGCUGUGUGACCUUGGGCAAGUUACUCAACCUCUCUGUGCCUGAGGUGCCUCACUCGUAAAGCGGGAUUUUAAUAAAAAUAUCUAUGCCUUA